rnacentral:rRNA from 1 species
UACGGAGGGUGCAAGCGUUAUCCGGAAUGAUUGGGCGUAAAGCGUCCGCAGGUGGCAGUUCAAGUCUGCUGUCAAAGACCGGGGCUUAACUUCGGAAAGGCAGUGGAAACUGAACAGCUAGAGUAUGGUAGGGGCAGAGGGAAUUCCUGGUGUAGCGGUGAAAUGCGUAGAGAUCAGGAAGAACAUCGGUGGCGAAGGCGCUCUGCUGGACCAUAACUGACACUCAGGGACGAAAGCUAGGGGAGCGAAUGGG